rnacentral:rRNA from 1 species
GACGAACGCUGGCGGUGUGCUUAACACAUGCGAGUCGAACGGUAAGGCCCUUUCGGGGGUACACGAGUGGCGAACGGGUGAGUAACACGUGAGUAACCUGCCCUCAUCUCUGGGAUAACAGUCGGAAACGGUUGCUAAUACUGGAUAUGAGCUUGCAAGGCAUCUUGUGGGUUGGAAAGAUUUUUUUGGUUGGGGAUGGACUCGCGGCCUAUCAGCUUGUUGGUGAGGUAGUGGCUCACCAAGGCUUCGACGGGUAGCCGGCCUGAGAGGGCGACCGGCCACAUUGGGACUGAGAUACGGCCCAAACUCCUACGGGAGGCAGCAGUGGGGAAUAUUGCACAAGGGACGGAAGUCUGAUGCAGCAACGCCGCGUGCGGGAGGACGGCCUUCGGGUUGUAAACCGCUUUCAAUUGUGACGAAGCUUUUUGUGACGGUAGCAGUAGAAGAAGCACCGGCUAACUACGUG